UAGGGAAUAUUGGACAAUGGGUGAGAGCCUGAUCCAGCCAUGCCGCGUGCAGGAAGAAGGCGUUAUGCGUUGUAAACUGCUUUUUGCCAGGGGAUAAAAAGACCGUGCGCGGUUAAUUGAAGGUACCUGGUGAAUAAGCCACGGCUAACUACGUGCCAGCAGCCGCGGUAAUACGUAGGUGGCAAGCGUUGUCCGGAUUUAUUGGGUUUAAAGGGUGCGUAGGUGGCCCUGUAAGUCAGUGGUGAAAUAUCUCAGCUUAACUGAGAGGGUGCCAUUGAUACUGCAGGGCUUGAGUACAGAUGAGGUAGGCGGAAUUGACGGUGUAGCGGUGAAAUGCAUAGAUAUCGUCAAGAAUACCGAUAGCGAAGGCAGCUUACCAAGCUGUAACUGACACUGAGGCACGAAAGUGUGGGGAUCAAACAGGAUUAGAUACCCACGUAGUCCCUGAGCGGGCUGGCAAGGCGCAU
rnacentral:rRNA from 1 species